rnacentral:rRNA from 1 species
AUUGAACGCUGGCGGCAUGCUUUACACAUGCAAGUCGAACGGGCUUAGGGGCUUGCUCCUAAGUUAGUGGCGAACGGGUGAGUAAUGCAUCGGAACGUACCGUGUAGUGGGGGAUAACCCGGCGAAAGUCGGAUUAAUACCGCAUACGAUCUACGGAUGAAAGUGGGGGACCGCAAGGCCUCACGCUAUACGAGCGGCCGAUGUCGGAUUAGCUAGUUGGUAGGGUAAAGGCCUACCAAGGCAACGAUCCGUAGCGGGUUUGAGAGAACGACCAGCCACACUGGAACUGAGACACGGUCCAGACUCCUACGGGAGGCAGCAGUGGGGAAUUUUGGACAAUGGGGGCAACCCUGAUCCAGCAAUGCCGCGUGAGUGAAGAAGGCCUCGGUGUAAGCUCUUUGUUCAGGGAAGAAACGGUAGAGUUCUAAUAAAGACUUGCUAAUGACGGUACCUGAAGAAUAAGACACCGGCUAACUACGUAGCCAGCAGCCGCGGUAAU